rnacentral:rRNA from 1 species
UACGUAGGGUGCGAGCGUUGUCCGGAAUUAUUGGGCGUAAAGGGCUCGUAGGCGGUCUGUUGCGUCGGUAGUGAAAACUCAGGGCUUAACCCUGAGCCUGCUUCCGAUACGGGCAGACUAGAGGUAUGCAGGGGAGAACGGAAUUCCUGGUGUAGCGGUGAAAUGCGCAGAUAUCAGGAGGAACACCGGUGGCGAAGGCGGCUCUCUGGGACGGUACUGACGCUGAGACGCGAAAGCGUGGGGAGCGAACAGG